rnacentral:rRNA from 1 species
UACGGAGGGUGCAAGCGUUGUUCGGAUUUACUGGGCGUAAAGCGCGCGCAGGCGGAUAAGCAAGUCAGAUGUGAAAUCUCGGGGCUUAACCUCGAAACUGCGUCUGAAACUGCUAAUCUAGAAUCUCAGAGGGGGUAGGGGAAUUUCACGUGUAGGGGUAAAAUCCGUAGAGAUGUGAAGGAACACCGGAGGCGAAGGCGCCUACCUGGAUGAGUAUUGACGCUGAGGCGCGAAAGCGUGGGGAGCAAACAGG